rnacentral:rRNA from 1 species
GAUGAACGCUGGCGGCGUGCUUAACACAUGCAAGUCGAACGGAAAGGCCCAAGCUUGCUUGGGUCCUCGAGUGGCGAACGGGUGAGUAACACGUGGGUGAUCUGCCCUGCACUUCGGGAUAAGCCUGGGAAACUGGGUCUAAUACUGGAUAGGACCACUUCUUGGAUGGUGUGGUGGACAGUUUUUUCGGUGUGGGAUGAGCUCGCGGCCUAUCAGCUUGUUGGUGGGGUAAUGGCCUACCAAGGCGUCGACGGGUAGCCGGCCUGAGAGGGUGUACGGCCACAUUGGGACUGAGAUACGGCCCAGACUCCUACGGGAGGCAGCAGUGGGGAAUAUUGCACAAUGGGCGCAAGCCUGAUGCAGCGACGCCGCGUGGGGGAUGACGGCCUUCGGGUUGUAAACUCCUUUCGCUAGGGACGAAGCGUUUUUGUGACGGUACCUGGAGAAGAAGCACCGGCUAACUACGUG